GAUGAACGCUGGCGGCGUGCCUAAUACAUGCAAGUCGAGCGAACAGAUGAGGAGCUUGCUCCUCUGACGUUAGCGGCGGACGGGUGAGUAACACGUGGAUAACCUACCUAUAAGACUGGGAUAACUUCGGGAAACCGGAGCUAAUACCGGAUAAUAUAUUGAACCGCAUGGUUCAAUAGUGAAAGACGGUUUUGCUGUCACUUAUAGAUGGAUCCGCGCCGCAUUAGCUAGUUGGUAAGGUAACGGCUUACCAAGGCAACGAUGCGUAGCCGACCUGAGAGGGUGAUCGGCCACACGGGAACUGAGACACGGUCCAGACUCCUACGGGAGGCAGCAGUAGGGAAUCUUCCGCAAUGGGUGAAAGCCUGACGGAGCAACGCCGCGUGAGUGAUGAAGGUCUUCGGAUCGUAAAACUCUGUUAUUAGGGAAGAACAAAUGUGUAAGUAACUAUGCACGUCUUGACGGUACCUAAUCAGAAAGCCACGGCUAACUACGUG
rnacentral:rRNA from 1 species